CGCGGCCUAUCAGCUUGUUGGCGGGGUAACGGCCCACCAAGGCGACGACGGGUAGCUGGUCUGAGAGGACGGCCAGCCACACUGGGACUGAGACACGGCCCAGACUCCUACGGGAGGCAGCAGUGGGGAAUCUUGCGCCAAUGCGCGAAAGCGUGACGCAGCGACGCCGCGUGGGGGAUGAAGGCCCUCGGGUUGUAAACCCCUUUCGCCAGGGACGAAGCGAAAGUGACGGUACCUGGAGAAGAAGUCCCGGCUAACUACGUGCCAGCAGCCGCGGUAACACGUAGGGGACGAGCGUUGUCCGGAUUCAUUGGGCGUAAAGCGCGCGUAGGCGGUCGUGCAAGUCGGUUGUGAAAUCCCGGGGCUCAACCCCGGGACUGCGUCCGAUACUGCACGACUGGAGGCAGGUAGGGGAGAUCGGAAUUCCUGGUGUAGCGGUGAAAUGCGCAGAUAUCAGGAGGAACACCGGUGGCGAAGGCGGAUCUCUGGGCCUUGCCUGACGCUGAGGCGCGAAAGCUAGGGGAGCGAACAGGAUUAGAUACCCUGGUAGUCCUAGCCGUAAACGUUGGGUGCUAGGUGUGGGCGGACAUCGACCCCGUCCGUGCCGAAGCUAACGCAUUAAGCACCCCGCCUGGGGAGUACGG
rnacentral:rRNA from 1 species